ensembl:lncRNA
CCUUAGCGCAGCCGGCCUCGUUAGGGACGGCCCGGGGCUCUGACAGUUUGACGUGCGGACUCCGGAUCUGAAUUAGGGACUUAAAUUACACUUUAAAGUACAGUUUGUUACGCGCUUUUCCUUCUCGCCGCACUGUGGGAUUCAUCGAUAAGUUAAGUAAUUGUGCCAAUUCAAACGGGUCGCUUUGCAUCCGACGCGACCGGCGCGAUAGAGCGUCUCCCCUCCGAAGAACGUCCCCGGCCUUAACGGUUUCCAGGGGCCUCCGCUGGGUGCGUCUCCGCUCUGCUUUCCAUCGCCCCAAUUCCGAACAAAAGAAAAAGGGGGGAAAAAAUUAUUUAUUUGUUUAUUUCUUAAGAAAAAUAAGUCUUUUUAAGAUAAUAAGAAAAAUAAGGAACAAACGUGCAGACCUUCACUGCUCAGGGGGGCUACAAACCAAAGUAAAACUAGGGGCCGGCAAAAACAUGGUGCUCCACAGUCUUAAUUUAACAAAACACAGUGGAACCCCCUGAAAUAGCGUGAAAUUCAGAAGCCUGUGGUCGGGCUGAAGCAUCGUGUGCUGGCCGGCAGAUGUUUGGAAAGGUGCUAAGAUGUAACUCUUAUUGUCCAUAGAAUUUGCUGUUAACCACUUGCAAGAUACAAAGUGACGGCCAGCUGGAUGAAUAGGAGAAUGUGUGUGAACACCCGGAACUGACAGACCCGGGACAGUGCAUGUGGCUUGAAGUGGGCACUGAGAGAAAGCUCAGACAAUGUAUAUACAUGCUAUUAACAUUCACAUUAAUUUCCACUGGGACACGACUUAAUUAAGUUCAGGAACGCAUGCAAGUGUACUGUUCUUAUUAGAGGCACGGUCUGGAGAAGAUGGCCGGGGAGCUGAGCAUCAUUUCUACAUCAGCUGCUGAAGCGCCCACUAACUUUGGAUGUCGCCUAAACCUUCAGAUGGAAUCCUUGCAGGCAUUCCCGUGGGGAUCGGGAAAUUGCAGUAUGCCGGAACUACCGUUGCUGAUGUGGGGCGAGCGCUCUGAAGUGCACUUGGAGAAGAACGCAUUCCAAUCCCGCAUAUAUGAAAAGUUUAAUAUUUUAGACAGCUAGAUGAAAUGCUGGGGUCUUGGUGCAUUUUGCUUUGGCGGUCCAGGCUUUUCAGCAUCUUAGGGAAAUGUUUGGAAAUGAAUUUUAUUUUCACAACUGUGGUACAAUUACAAGGCGGGGAUGUUUCACCCUUCUCACCGAGGUGCCCUUGGUGGUGGUGGUCUGUAAAUGGCUAUAGAACUGACAGAGAAGUCUGCAAGCAUUUUCUUCGGUUCUGAUUUUUAUUCUUAUUUGUUUUAACAGAGAGAUAAAAACCAGCAUUGUGCAUGUCCUUGCUCUGCGGGUUGGGGAUGUAUCGUUGUUGUUGUCGUUGUUUUCCUGGGAAGUAAAACAGGGUAGGAUAUUGGUAAUAAGGGCAAGUGGAUUUAUUGCUGAGCGAGUUGUACGCUGUUUGACAGAAAAUUCCUGAACUGAUCGGUGUUGGUGGAAGUUGGGGCUGCCUCCCGAUGUUUCCUGAGCCUUCUAUUUAGUUUGGAGUUCUGGGAAGUAUUUGUGGGCUUAAUCCAUUUACGCUUUUGAUAGGUAAAUGCAAGCCAUGAGUUACAGUAAAUUAUUGCUAAGAAAAGAUGAAUGGAAGAAUGGAUGUUUCAUUUUACUAUAUAUGCUGGGAAAGGUUGUUCUUUCUUUCAGCGUAUAACUCUGCUUUUCCUCGUACAACCUAUUUACAGGGUCAGACUUCUUAAUUUAUUUAUUUUUUUGUUUCUGUAUUUACUGUAAUUAAAGCCAAAGCAGACAACACUUCUUCAGUCUUCUGCAUUUACUGAGUGCCUUUAGCAAACACGCUGCAAGGCAUAGCCGUUAGAUGAGCAUUUCCAACCAUGGUGUGUAAAUGAGUUAUAAAAUACAAGCAACUCUAUAAAACGAGAAAAUCCUGAGUUAACAAAUAAAUG